UACGGAGGGGGCUAGCGUUGUUCGGAAUUACUGGGCGUAAAGGGUGCGUAGGCGGUCGGGUAAGUCUGAUGUGAAAUCUCACAGCUUAACUGUGAAACUGCAUUGGAUACUAUUCGGCUUGAGAGUUGGAGGGGGGACUGGAAUUCUUGGUGUAGCAGUGAAAUGCGUAGAUAUCAAGAGGAACACCAGUGGCGAAGGCGAGUCCCUGGACAACUUCUGACGCUGAGGCACGAAAGCUAGGGGAGCAAACAGG
rnacentral:rRNA from 1 species